GCCGGGGGGCGGAGUCUGCGCUGAGUGAAGAGGUGCCAGAAUCCGCGAAGAGGGUCGACGAAUGCGCUGCCGCGGAGGGCCGUGGAAGAACUUGCCGAUGGAGGGACCACAGAGGGAUCUAUGGGAGAACAACGGCAACUGCAGGAGAGUGGGCCAAAUAAUCAUGGCAACAGGACUUUUAGAAGCACGUCCUCUGAAAGCCAUUUUCUGCCUGUGGUUGGAAAGGGACUGUGAGUCUUUCCUCAGGAAGUCAGUAGCCCUACCUGGUGAGGUGAUCAAGAGUUUGCUAGCACAAGAGAUGAAGCAACAAUGGCCAUGAGGGAUUCAAGGAUUAUGCGUCUCUGCACCCUACAAUACACCAACUGGCAGUUCCAUCAUUUGAAAGAAAAUCUUCAAGGUAAAGACAUUUACAAUGACACAAAAACCUUUCAAAGGCAUCAUGGUCCUAAAGGGCUUUCCCCAAGGGACAGCACAGUGUGUUCCAGGCCCUGACAAGAGGUUUAAGACCUGUGACACAGACUGAAGCUCUCCUGGCAUACUCUGAAGCUCUCCUGGCACCCUCCCCUUUAUGCUUCACAGGUGUUUCUCCUAAUAAAUUUCUUGUAUGUCUCAUCCCAUCUGGGAAUCUGCUUCUCAGAAGACUCAAACUAACAUAUCUGCCCACUAUGUAUCAGGCACUGUGCUAGGUGCUGGAGACCUAAAAAUGGAUAAAACAGACAAGAGCCCUUCAUUCAUGGUGCUUGCAUCAUAGUGGGGGUAAAUAUUCCAUAAGCAAGAGAAUAAAUAGAUAAGAUAAAUUUAAAAACUAGAGAAUGACUUGUUAUAAAUUGAUUGGUAAUCAGGGAAGGUCUUCUGAGGAGAUGACACUUAAGCUGACACCUGAAUGAGAAGAAGGGGCUGGUCAACUGAAGACCUAGAUGAGAGUAUUGUAGGCAGAGGGAAGAGCAAGGACCACAGGUUGAGAAAGAAACUAGUUUGACAUAUUUGAUGGGGGAAAAGCCAGUUUGAAGAAUAAUAAAAAAGGGAAUGAAUGGAAUAAACAAGGACAUUAAAGAACUAGAGAGGAGCCUGAUCAUCACAGUAAGGCAUUUAGAAUAGGUUAGGGAGAAGACCAUUCUCUAUCAGGGUAGAACUGAAAAGGCUACGUCUGCUGCUAAAUGCUGCUAUAAAAAGACAAGGGCUUUCAUAUACUACAGAUGCAAUCUUUUGGAUCCACUUAUAUUGAGCAGACUUCGUGGACCCUCCUAAGAAAGUAGGCACCACAAAAAUAUUACAUCUAUACAAAAUGCAGGGCUCCAAGCCAUAGAUGUAUAUAUCACAUUGUGUGUGUGUGUGUGUGUGUGUGUGUGUGUGUGUGUGUGUGUGUGUGUGUCUGUAAAGCCAGCCAGUUUGUAAGCUGAACAUGACUCCCACAUGCUUUCAGAGAGAAGAGAAAAGAGAGAGGACCGUGUACUGGAAUAAGCCCUAAGAACUUCUUGGAAGAAGGGGAAGUUAGCUGAUCAAAAUUAUGUUGCUUUCUAGAAAAGAAGUAAAAAGCCAGGCAGUUUCUUUUGCUAGAACUGUCUGGGUAGAUUUCCAUUCUAAGAAAAUUACAACAAUGUAUAGUUUUAAAUAGCUAGAAGGAGAAUACUGAAUGUUCCCAACACAAAGAAGUGAUAAAUAUUUGAAAUGACGGAUAUAUUCAUAGUCCUUAUCUGAUUGCUAUACACAAUAUGUAUUGAAACAUCAUUAUGUACCCCAUGAAUAUGUGCAAUUAUUAUAAUUCAAUUUAAAAAAUAAAAUUAAACAAAGAAAGCAAGGGGUCAACAGCAUCCAUUGUAAAUGUGCUACCUCUCCACCUGUCUCAUUUAUGAAGUUGGGGGAGCUCCUGAACAGAUAACGAAGUGCAAUGAAAUUUGGAGAAGAAAUCUAGUACCUAGGUCUAGAGAGCAAAUGUGCAACUUCUUUGGAGAAUAUGUUUCAAAUAAAGCUUCAAGAGCUGUUCCUAGUAGCAUAUGGCUGUUGCUCUUGGUGUGGAGGUUCAUGGAGUAAUGUUUCUUGAUCAGAGGAUCUUGCAGGUUAUUGUUCACUUCUACUGCUGCCUCUACCCAAUGUAUAGUUUGAGUCCUAAGAGGCUUGGCCUUUUUACUUUGCCUUCCACCCCAAUAGGGACAGCACAGUGAGAAACAGAUCUACAAUGGCUCCGCAGACCUUUCCUUUGGAGAGAUGCUGGGCAGCUGCACACACUAAGAAAGUUUCCUGAAAUAGAAUUGCAUUAUCUGAGGCCUGGAAAAUGUGUUGGAAAAGCUCACUUAGCUAUGGGAAAGCCGAUGAAAGACCUGUCUGGUUUCUGAGCAUUGUCUGGGGAGCUCAAAUUCUAUAAAUGGGCCCCCAAGGUAUCCAUCAUUUAGCCCUUGCCAAGGCUGGGUCAACAUGCUGGCAAAGAACUGUCUGAACAUUGAAAAAUCCUCCAACCUAUUAUCUCCUGAGAGAAAGCUAGUUAUUUGAAAUACAAGUUGGAUUUUAAAAUUUCUAUCAGCAUGUUUUUAAAUUAAUCUUUUGUUAAUGUAAACAUACAGAAAAUUACAUGCAUUAUAAGUGAACAGAUCAAUGAAUUUUCAAAAAGUGAAUAUAACUUUAUAGCCACAUCAGAUCAAGAAACAGACAUUACCAGCACCCCAGGAGUCUUUCUACUAUUUCCUUCCUGAAUCCAGAAUAGGGUAACUACUAUUCUGGAUUGUAAUACAGAUAAGUUAACUUUGCCUGUUUUGUAUUUUAUGCAAAUAAAGUCAUACCAUAUACAGUACUGAUCUCAAGGAAGAAGCUUUUAGCAUUUUAAUAUUAAAUACAAUAACAUGUAAUUUUUUGGUAGAUUUUUAAAAUCGAAUUUAGAAAGUUCCCUUCUAUUUCUAGUUUGUUACAAAUUUUCAUCAUGAAUAUAUGUUGAAUUUUGUCAAAUGCUUUAUUUUAUUGAGAUAAUCUGC
rnacentral:lncRNA from 10 species